GAUGAAGAACGCAGCGAAAUGCGAUAAGUAAUGUGAAUUGCAGAAUUCAGUGAAUCAUCGAAUCUUUGAACGCACAUUGCGCCCGCCAGCAUUUUGGCGGGCAUGCCUGUUCGAGCGUCAUUUCAACCCUCGAGCCCCCCCGGGGGCCUCGGUGUUGGGGGACGGCACACCAGCCGCCCCCGAAAUGCAGUGGCGACCUCGCCGCAGCCUCCCCUGCGUAGUAGCACACACCUCGCACCGGAGCGCGGAGACGGUCACGCCGUAAAACGCCCAACUUCUUAGAGUUGACCUCGGAUCAGGUAGGAAUACCCGCUGAACUUAAGCAUAUCAAUAAGCGGAGGA
rnacentral:misc_RNA from 1 species